AUCAUCUUCACUUUCUGCAGAGAGAAAAGAGGGAAUGAGGACAACUGGAGCAGGUGCUUUAGACCAAAGGACAGCCAUCUGCUGAGGAAAGCAGAAGUGCAAGCCCAGCUGGGAACCUGGGUGGACUCAUGGAACACAGCCCAACUGUCUGCCCUGGACUGCAAGAUGAGAGAAAAAGAAACUUUGGCCUUAUGUAGAAUAAUCAAAGGACCCUCUACUACAAAGCUUAGUGAGGACCCUGAAGCUCUACCCACCCAACUCCAGCCAUAACUACCAAAACUAGAGGUGCCAGACACAGAUGCCCAGCCAGCCUUCUUGAUAACAUUGACUGACCUCACACAUAAACUGGGAAACUCUCCUGGAAAUAGAAAGCAACUUCAUCAAAGAUAAACAAGGAACUUUGUCUACCACUUGCUGCCUCCACCGGAAGAGAAAGAGUGAACCAUGAUGAACGUCUCCCGUGGGCAGCCUCUUGGCUAGCUCUGUGAUGGGUCCCUUGGAUUUUCCAUGCAUACAAAUAAGAAGCAUGUUCAAUGAACUGGUCACUUAAAUAGGCUGUUCCUGGAAAUUGGAGUUCCAAUUUAAAAUAUUGACAAAGCCAUCUUCGGGAAUGUUCUCUUGUAUUUAUCUCUUUUAAUUCACUUUAAUUAAUUAAUCUGCAAUUGUCUUUGCAUCUGUGUGAUGGGGAGAGUUUCUAAGAAUUUAAUUUCUUCUAAGACCAUGAGCUUGCUUGCUUAUUUGAUCUUCCAAAUGCAGCAAGGGAGUAUUUUCGCUAGGUUUUCCCAAGAUUUAUUACAGGGGCUACUAAUUUAUUCCCUGUUAAAUUGGGCAUCUCUAACUAGAGAAAGUUGUUAGAAAAUGAAUGGAAGAGAGAAAUGUGAUCAUACUCUGAAUAGUGUUCACUUGAAUGGCUUGAAACUUUUAAGAAAGUCCUCCAGAAUCUUAGAAAUAGCAAAUAAACAGUGGAGAUGGAGCAUGAGAUGAUACUAUCAGCACUGGAGUGUCUUCAGGGACACUCAGUCAGCGAGCUUAUUCCUCAUUACUACAACCCACCAGGCAGACAGUCAUGUGACUAAUUCCCGUGUAUGGAAAAAAAGGAAGAAAAGGUAAGGUCUUUGUUGCAUUAAUGCCAUGCCACACUGGUUUCAGAAAAGGAGAAAAUCUUUUAUUCUGAGUCCUCCAUAGUGGAAAGUAGUUAAGUACAACAGCUUGGAAACCAGACUGCCAGGGUUCAAAUCUCAGCUCCACCAUUUAUUGUAUGAGCUUGGGCAAAUUCUUUACCUCUUUGUAUUUCAGUUUUCUCCUUGGAAAGAUGAGAAUAAUACCAGUGUCCUUCUUGUGAGGGUUUCUUGAGUUAAUAUCUGUGAAGCUGAUAGAACGGUGUCAAUAAACCAUGUGUGUGUUUACUAAUAUUUUAUGGUUGCAGUAUCAGGAACAAGGAUUGUUAAGGGGGGCACUCUUUAAUGAACACCUUUAAUGCGCACAUCAGAGAAAGGUAACUUUUAAAAAUGCAAACUGGACACUACUACAGUCGAACUUGCUGUGUUUUUCUUUUUUAAGUAUUUAGAAACAAUUUAAUUUUUAAAAUAGACUAGUCACUGUGUAUCAAUUUACUGUGUAAAUUCCCUUUACCAAAGGUAUGAAGAAUCAUCCCAAGGUUCAAAUCAUCCAGGUUUGAAUAAAGAAAUGUUUUAGGUUCCUACUUUACUUGCUUUACCAAGGAAGGGUUUUGAAGCAGGAAAAGAAGGAAAUUACCAUUGCACCUGGAAUCUUUUUUAAAAGACACGUUUUGUUGCUUUUGUUUAGAAAAUGUGGGAAAUGCAUAAAAGUACAUCAUAGAAAAGAAGAAAAGAUGAACUGUAAUACCA